GCCUGGGUGGCUCAGUCGGUUGAGCGUCCGACUUCGGCUCAGGCCAUGAUCUCGCGGCUGUGGGUUCAAGACCCACAUGGGGCU
rnacentral:tRNA from 1 species